rnacentral:rRNA from 1 species
AGCUCCAAUAGCGUAUAUUAAUGUUGUUGCAGUUAAAAAGCUCGUAGUUGGAUUUCUGGAUCGAGCGCUCUGUCCGUCGCUGUGCGAUGCGUACUUGAGUCGUCUCGUUUCAUCCUUGCAGGGAAGCGCGUUCGACAUUUGUUUGUCGACGCGGGGAACUGCAUCUUUUACUGUGAAAAAAUUAGAGUGUUUAAAGCAGGCAUUUUGCUGUGAAUACAUUAGCAUGGAAUAAUAACAUAGGACCCUGGUUCUAUUUUGUUGGUUGGAGGCCAAGGUAAUGAUUAAUAGGGACAGUUGGGGGUAUUCAUAUUUAAUUGUCAGAGGUGAAAUUCUUGGAUUUAUGAAAGAUGAACUCAUGCGAAAGCAUUUACCAAGGAUGUUUUCAUUA